rnacentral:rRNA from 1 species
UACGUAGGUGGCAAGCGUUAUCCGGAAUUAUUGGGCGUAAAGCGCGCGCAGGCGGUUUCUUAAGUCUGAUGUGAAAGCCCACGGCUCAACCGUGGAGGGUCAUUGGAAACUGGGGAACUUGAGUGCAGAAGAGAAAAGCGGAAUUCCACGUGUAGCGGUGAAAUGCGUAGAGAUGUGGGGGAACACCAGUGGCGAAGGCGGCUUUUUGGUCUGUAACUGACGCUGAGGCGCGAAAGCGUGGGGAGCAAACAGG